rnacentral:rRNA from 1 species
GACGAACGCUGGCGGCGUGCCUAAUACAUGCAAGUCGAGCGGACCGGAUUGGGGCUUGCCUUGAUUCGGUCAGCGGCGGACGGGUGAGUAACACGUGGGCAACCUGCCCGCAAGACCGGGAUAACUCCGGGAAACCGGAGCUAAUACCGGAUAACACCGAAGACCGCAUGGUCUUCGGUUGAAAGGCGGCCUUUGGGCUGUCACUUGCGGAUGGGCCCGCGGCGCAUUAGCUAGUUGGUGAGGUAACGGCUCGCCAAGGCGACGAUGCGUAGCCGGCCUGAGAGGGUGACAGGCCACACUGGGACUGAGACACGGCCCAGACUCCUACGGGAGGAAGCAGUAGGGAAUCUUCCGCAAUGGGCGAAAGCCUGACGGGGCGACGCCGCGUGAGCGAAGAAGGCCUUCGGGUCGUAAAGCUCUGUUGUGAGGGACGAAGGAGCGUCGUUCGAAGAGGGCGGCGCGGUGACGGUACCUCACGAGAAAGCCCCGGCUAACUACGUG